rnacentral:rRNA from 1 species
AGAGUUUGAUCAUGGCUCAGGACGAACGCUGGCGGCGUGCUUAAUACAUGCAAGUCGAGCGAGGUUACUGUUUCGGAUCCCUUCGGGGUGAAGAAGCUUUAACCUAGCGGCGGACGGGUGAGUAACGCGUGGGUAACCUACCCCAAAGUCCGGGAUAACAGCGGGAAACCGCUGCUAAUACCGGAUGCCUUUACCUUGGGGCAUCUUGAGGUAAAGAAAGGUAACGCUUUGGGAUGGGCCCGCGUCCCAUUAGCUAGUUGGUGAGGUAACGGCUCACCAAGGCGACGAUGGGUAGCCGGCCUGAGAGGGUGGACGGCCACACUGGGACUGAGACACGGCCCAGACUCCUACGGGAGGCAGCAGUAGGGAAUAUUGCGCAAUGGACGGAAGUCUGACGCAGCGACGCCGCGUGAGCGAUGAAGGUCUUCGGAUCGUAAAGCUCUGUCCUUGGGGAAGAAGGUCUUCGGACUUGACGGUACCCAAGAAGAAAGCCCCGGCUAACUACGUGCCAGCAGCCGCGGUAAU